rnacentral:lncRNA from 1 species
AGAUGGUGCCUAUGCUGUUGGUCUACAGGCUGUAUUUUAUAUAGCAGGGUUUGGUACAAUCUUUCUCAACCAGACCUGGAAGAGAAGUAGGUUCUAAUGUCCUAAUAAUAUAUUUUCUGUAAUGAAUUAAUUUUAUUUCAGUAUGCCUAGAAUGGUGUGUGAUAUGUACCAUCCUUAAGAGAACUGUGAAAAUAGUCGUUAAAUCAUGUUUUGUUUCUUCUGUGCUUGGGUUGAAGCUCAUAUCAAUUAGGAUUAAAUUCAGGUUUAACCAACCAGAAGUCUGUGCAAUGAUUUAGAUACACAAGAAUUAUCUAUCUUAACAGAGAGAAGCAGGGGUUAGUAGUCCAGGGUUCCAGAGAAUUUUGUUUUUUUCUUCUUCCGUUGUUCUCAGAGUGUACAGGCCAGGUCUUGUGUAUGUUGUCUCAGGUUGUAACAUGGCUGCUGCUCUGCAAGCUCACAUCCACUAUCCAGGCUGAAGCCAGAAGAAGUGGGAAGAGAAAAACCAAAGGACAGUGCCCUCUGUAAACCACUUUUAAAAAACGUUUCUCAGCAGCUACUCUUUAGAGGUAUGAUGGAUCUCCCCACAAAGUCUGGUUCAGGUGUCAAGACCUACACACCAAGAAACGAUGAGAAGAAUUAUCAUUCACAUGAGACUUUCUGGGGCAAGCAGAGUGGCUACCAAACAGGUCUUAAAAUGGCUUGAGAAAUCCAGAGAUUUGAAGUUCAGGAUAGAAAACAGCAUCAAUAUUAUCAGAAUGCACAAGCCACGAACCCCAUUGCCAGACUGCUUGUUACAUGGCAGGUACACAA